rnacentral:ncRNA from 2 species
CAGCGCACUCCGGGGUCGGUGUAAUUCCGAACCGGCGGUAUAGUCCGCGACCCGUCCGCAGCCAGCGGCCGGUUGACCAGGUGAAACUCCUGGACCGACGGUGAAAGUCCGGAUGGGAGGCAGUGCGCGG